rnacentral:rRNA from 1 species
AGUGAACGCUGGCGGUAGGCCUAACACAUGCAAGUCGAACGGCAGCACAGUAAGAGCUUGCUCUUACGGGUGGCGAGUGGCGGACGGGUGAGGAAUACAUCGGAAUCUACUUUUUCGUGGGGGAUAACGUAGGGAAACUUACGCUAAUACCGCAUACGACCUACGGGUGAAAGCAGGGGAUCUUCGGACCUUGCGCGAUUGAAUGAGCCGAUGUCGGAUUAGCUAGUUGGCGGGGUAAAGGCCCACCAAGGCGACGAUCCGUAGCUGGUCUGAGAGGAUGAUCAGACACACUGGAACUGAGACACGGUCCAGACUCCUACGGGGGGCAGCAGUGGGGAAUAUUGGACAAUGGGCGCAAGCCUGAUCCAGCCAUACCGCGUGGGUGAAGAAGGCCUUCGGGUUGUAAAGCCCUUUUGUUGGGAAAGAAAAGCAGCAGGUUAAUACCCCGCUGUUCUGACGGUACCCAAAGAAUAAGCACCGGCUAACUUCGUG